UACGUAGGGUGCGAGCGUUAAUCGGAAUUACUGGGCGUAAAGCGUGCGCAGGCGGUUUGGUUAGACCGAUGUGAAAUUCCCGGGCUUAACCUGGGAACUGCAUUUGUGACUGGCAGGCUAGAGUGCGGCAGAGGGGAGUGGAAUUUCGCGUGUAGCAGUGAAAUGCGUAGAUAUGCGGAGGAACACCGAUGGCGAAGGCAACUCCCUGGGCCUGCACUGACGCUCAUGCACGAAAGCGUGGGGAGCAAACAGG
rnacentral:rRNA from 1 species